GCAGAAAGGAAGUCAAGGAGAUUCAACGUACAGUUCUGAGAAGGGAUUCAGUGUGCCGUUGCUGGCUCUGAGAAGUAGGAGCCUUGUGCAAGGAUUCAGGAAAGGUCUCUAGGAACUGAGGAUGGUUCUCAACUGGCAAACACAAGCAACUGAAUUCGGCCAGGCAUCUGGGUCCUGUGCUAGGGGCGAGGAGGACAGAGAGAAACAGAGUCAGAUCCUCCCACAAAAAUCCACGAGAUGUUGGGGAGCCGAACUUGUAAACAGCCAUCACCAACGCAAAGAAGGAUGCACUGAUGCUAUCCAGAGGUGCACAGGAAAUGGUUCAUGGGCAUAGAGCCCCCUUUUUUCUUAGUGUCUAGGAUAGGCACCAUCUUUGGAAGCAUAGCCUCAAGAUGGUGGCAUGGAGGGGACUGACAGAGGCAGGGGAGCUUCAGGUCUGCUGGCUCUCUCCUCCCUCCUUGUCACCCCUCAACCUCUGGGCUGCCCUUUGGGCUCAUGACGAUGUAUCUCAGAGCCCAAGGGGGUUGGGCUUCCCUUCUGGGGGACUCUGGAAGCUCCUGGGUUAACUACUCUCAGGGCUCUGGUUUUCUCCAUGCAGAUAAAGUACUUGAUUUCCUGGAACAAUUUUUCUUUCUCAGUCUGAGGGCUCUG